GAAAUCACCACGAUGGGCAUUGCACAAUUUGGAACCUGGCAAGGGGAUCUACAGGAAGAAAUGUUUUUGUAAAUCUGCCCUAGAAACAAGUUCGACAAUUUGCAUCCAGUAGACUAGGACGGACCCCCUUUGACUCGGAAUUACCAGGGCAAAAUUUUUCUCAGAAGCAGAUGACUUGAGCUAAACUCAGGAUGAUGAGAACAAGUAUCUGGACCUUUCCCAGGAGCACUUUAGGUGCCGGAUUUAAGACAAAAGUGGAAGUUUAUAUCCCAGUCUUCCUUGUCCCAGUACCAUAUAAAAUGGCAGGUUACGAUGCUUUGGUCUAUGGCUGGAACACCUUAAGGAUCCCACACUUGAGAUCCAAGGAACCACCCUGAAGUAAAAUGAUGAUGACGACAAGCAUUUAUAUGACACUUUAAAAAUGAGCAGACCAGGCACAUCAAUUGAUAAAAA